GUGGCGACAAAUGCGUCCUACUUUGCCCUGAAUUCUAAGGAUGGUCCGAUGUAUCCUUCAUGUCCUACUAUAUCCCAGGAUUCAUUGCGGGUCAUAGAGGAGAUUUGUUUCUGAUAACGAUGGUGGUCGAAGCGGGAGAGGAAAACACUUUCAAAUGACAAUUCUGGAGAAGAUGGGCCUGCAGGGGAAAGUCACCCCCUUGCAGGCCAGAAGACAUGAGAUAACUUUAAAGAAUACAAAGAUUGCAAGUAUCCAGGCUCAAGA